UGCCAGACUCCUACGGGAGGCAGCAGUGGGGAAUAUUGCACAAUGGGGGAAACCCUGAUGCAGCAACGCCGCGUGAGUGAAGAAGUAUUUCGAUAUGUAAAGCUCUAUCAGCAGGGAAGAAGAUGACGGUACCUGAGUAAGAAGCCCCGGCUAACUACGUGCCAGCAGCCGCGGUAAUACGUAUGGUGCGAGCGUUGUCCGGAUUUACUGGGCGUGGAGGGGGCGCAGGCGGCGCGCCAAGCCCGAUGUGAAAGCCCGGGGCUCAACCCCGGGACUGCAUUGGGAACUGGCGUGCUGGAGUGCCGGAGGGGCAGGCGGAAUUCCUGGUGUAGCGGUGAAAUGCGUAGAUAUCAGGAGGAACACCGGUGGCGAAGGCGGCCUGCUGGACGGAUACUGACGCUGAGGCCCGAAAGCGUGGGGAGCGAACAGGAUUAGAUACCCCGGUAUC
rnacentral:rRNA from 1 species